CCAUUGCCUUCUGGGAGUCGUAGUGCCUGCUCUCCUUUCCUCCCCCCUACAGAACGGCGAUCGAAAGGAACUGAAUGAAACGGAGGACUGCGAUUCCCGAAAGCCACCGCGGCCGGGCUUCUGAGCUACGGGUCGCGAGAAGGGGCAAAACGCGCUCACCUGGUGCUGUCCGCCCCCCUUUGGCUGUUCGUACAGGUGUGCAGGUGCAGGUGGUCAGGGGCUGAUGCGGGAGGGAGGAGGCAGAGGAUGGAGGAGAAGGCCCUGCGCAAUGUGAGCAGCUCCAGCAGCACCAAGCCCUACCUGGAGAAGCUCACCCUGGGGGUGACCUGCAUCCUAGGUACUCUAUAACAUCAAUUAUAUUCCUUAUGCUGUCCUUCACCUUACGUCCUGGAAGGAAUCCUGCUUGAUCAUGAUGUACUAUUUCUAAUAAAUUCCUUCUCUUUGCAAAUAUUUUGUAAUCGUUGUUUAAUAACAAGAUCUGCCUGUAGUUCCUAAUCAAUAAUAAAUCUGCCUCUUGCUUCGGGAUUAAUGUAAUAAAAGCCUCUUUUAAUGUC